GCGAGUCGAGAGGGUUCGGCCCUCGGCUGACGGCUCAGUAACACGUGGAUAAUCUGCCCUUAGGUGGAGGAUACCCUCGGGAAACUGAGAAUAAUACUCCAUAGGUCUAGGAUGCUGGAAUGCAUCUAGACUGAAAACUCCGGUGCCUAAGGAUGAGUCUGCGGACUAUCAGGUUGUAGUCAGGGUAAAGACCUGACUAGCCUACGACGGAUACGGGUUGUGAGAGCAAUAACCCGGAGAUGAUAUCUGAGACACGAUAUCAGGCCCUACGGGGCGCAGCAGGCGCGAAAACUUCACACUGUGCGAAAGCACGAUGAGGGAAUCCCAAGUGCCAGCUCGUAAGAGUUGGCUGUUUUUCUGUCUAAAACACAGAGAGAGUAAGAGCUGGGUAAGACGGGUGCCAGCCGCCGCGGUAAUACCUGCAGCUCAAGUGGUGACCGUUAUUAUUGGGCCUAAAACGUUCGUAGCCGGUUUAGUAAAUGCCUGGGUAAAUCGUGUAGCUUAACUAUACGAAUUCCGGGUAGACUGCUAAGCUUGAGACUGGGAGAGGCUAGAGGUACUCCUGGGGUAGAGGUGAAAUUCUGUAAUCCUGGGGGGACCACCAGUGGCGAAGGCGUCUAGCUAGAACGGAUCUGACGGUGAGGGACGAAGCCCUGGGGCGCAAACCGGAUUAGAUACCCGGGUAGUCCAGGGUGUAAACGCUGCUUGCUUGAUGUUAGUCGGGCUCCGAGCCCGAUUAGUGU
rnacentral:rRNA from 1 species